UGACGGGCCGGAAGCGUUUUACAAAAUGGAACUGUGUUGUGCUUGCAAUUUGUGCUGUUUGUGUUAUGUACUUUUGAUUACAUUUAUUUUACAUGUUUCUCCUUCCAUAAUUUCCAGCUUCUUUCUGAUAUUUCCAUUCUCAUCACCCAUCUGUUGACACCUAACAAUCUGAAACUUGAAGUAUGGUGAUUAUGACAUGGAUCUACAAAACAUCAGACUGAUUCAGGUGCAGAUAAGUGGUGCACAGAGGUCUGGGUUUAGAGGAGGAAGCAUAUAUCAGUAUGAGAAGGAACUAUUAUACCUAUUCCUAUUGUAAAAUAAAACCAUAUUUCAUCACCAGAAAUACACUAACUACUGAUGAGGGCUUAUUACAGCUGAAAGCACUCCAGUUAAUACUUAUCCAAGAAUUUAUUAAACAUUUUUGCUUAAAAAGACUGAGCUUGUGUCUAUUUGUAAAACUAUAUUUAUUUGUUGUCCAAAUUACUAUCAAAAAUCAAUGAAACAAUCUGUAAACAAAAAUGAGAGAAAUUAUUUCUAAAAGAGAGAAAGAUGUUUGAAUAAUUUUGUUCAGUUGCACAACAUAUUUGGAAGUGUCAGACUGAACUAGCAUCUUCUUCUCAAUUCCAAAUUUUAACAAUUAUAUUAUUCCAUCUUAUGGGGCUAUUCAUUUGGACAUAUUAAUCUUUUACUUCUUUCUCUAUUUUUGCUUACAUCCUUUUCC
rnacentral:lncRNA from 1 species